AGUCAUAUGCUUGUCUCAAAGAUUAAUCCAUGCAUGUGUAAGUAUAAGUAUUGUACAGCGAAACUGCGAAUGGCUCAUUACAUCAGUUAUUAUUUAUUUGAUAAUCGAAAGUUACAUGGAUAACCGUGACAAAUUACAGCUAAUACAUGCAUUCAGACCUGGUCCAAGGGUCGUAAUUAUUAGUAUUAAACCAUUUCCGAAAGGAGUGUGAUGAAUCAUAAUAAUCGAACGAAUCGCCUGGUGUGCGAUAAAUCAUUCAAGUUUCUGCCCUAUCAGCUUUGGAUGGUAGUGUAUUGGACUACCAUGGCAGUCACGGGUAACGGAGAAUUAGGGUUCGAUUCCGGAGAGGGAGCCUGAGAAACGGCUACCACAUCUACGGAAGGCAGCAGGAGCGAAAAUUGCCCAAUCCCGACACGGGGAGGCAGUGACAAGAAAUAACAACUCUAGGUUAUUCUUAGAAGUGUAAUGAGGAUAAUUUACAACCCUUACCGAAAGCAAUUGGAGGGCAAGUCUGGUGCCAGCAGCCGCGGUAAUUCCAGCUCCAAUAGCGUAUAUUAAAGUUGUUGCAGUUAAAAAGCUCGUAGUUGAAGUUCUGGCUGCUCGAUCCUCGAGCUCUGUAGCCGAGGAAUCGACAGUCAUCCGCUUGCAAAUAUAUGUUCGCCUUUAACCGGGCGGCUAUAUGAGUAAGCAUUUUACCUUGAGAAAAACAGAGUGUUCCAGGCAGGUUUGUCCGGAAUGCAUUAGCAUGGAAUAAUAGAAUAUGACUGAAGUCUAUUUAUUGGUUUAAGGCUUUAGUAAUGAUUAAUAGGAACAGUCGGGGGCAUUGGUACUUGUCAGUCAGAGGUGAAAUUCUAGGAUUUGACAAAGACUAACAAAUGCGAAAGCAUUUGCCAAGGAUGUUUUCAUUAAUCAAGAACGAAAGUUAGGGGAUCAAAGACGAUCAGAUACCGUCCUAGUCUUAACUAUAAACUAUACCGACUCGGAUUCAGAUGAAUCAAAAAGUUCAUUUGGGACCGUAGGAGAAAUCAAAGUUUUUGGGUUCUGGGGGAAGUAUGGUCGCAAGGCUGAAACUUAAAGGAAUUGACGGUUUUGCACCACCAUGGAGUGGAGUCUGCGGCUUAAUUUGACAACACUGGGAAACUCAUCAGGGCAAGAAGAUUUUAGGAUUGACAGAUUGAGAGUUCUUUCUUGAUUGGUCUAGUGGUGGUGCAUGGCCGUUCUUAGUUGGUGGAGUGAUUUGUCUGGUUAAUUCCGUUAACGAACGAGACCUUAACCUGCUAACUAGUACACCGAUGACAAAUCGGCGUUACUUCUUAGAGGGACUAUGUGAUGUAAUCACAUGGAAGUUUGAGGCAAUAACAGGUCUGUGAUGCCCUUAGAUGUCCUGAGCUGCACGCGUACUACAAUGGUGCUUUCAACGAGCUUUUCCUGAUCCGAAAGGAUUUGGGUAAUCUUUUUAGUGAGCACCGUGCUUGGGAUUGAUCUUUGUAAUUAUGGAUCAUGAACUAGGAAUUCCUAGUAAGCGCUGGUCAUCAGCCAGUGCUGAUUACGUCCCU
rnacentral:rRNA from 1 species